rnacentral:rRNA from 1 species
AUUGAACGCUGGCGGCAUGCCUUACACAUGCAAGUCGAACGGCAGCACGGGAGCAAUCGUGGUGGCGAGUGGCGAACGGGUGAGUAAUACAUCGGAACGUGCCCAAUCGUGGGGGAUAACGCAGCGAAAGCUGUGCUAAUACCGCAUACGAUCUACGGAUGAAAGCAGGGGAUCGCAAGACCUUGCGCGAAUGGAGCGGCCGAUGGCAGAUUAGGUAGUUGGUGAGGUAAAGGCUCACCAAGCCGUCGAUCUGUAGCUGGUCUGAGAGGACGACCAGCCACACUGGGACUGAGACACGGCCCAGACUCCUACGGGAGGCAGCAGUGGGGAAUUUUGGACAAUGGGCGAAAGCCUGAUCCAGCCAUGCCGCGUGCAGGAUGAAGGCCUUCGGGUUGUAAACUGCUUUUGUACGGAACGAAACGGCCUUUUCUAAUAAAGAGGGCUAAUGACGGUACCGUAAGAAUAAGCACCGGCUAACUACGUGCCAGCAGCCGCGGUAAUACGUAGGGUGCAAGCGUUAAUCGGAAUUACUGGGCGUAAAGCGUGCGCAGGCGGUUAUGUAAGACAGUUGUGAAAUCCCCGGGCUCAACCUGGGAACUGCAUCUGUGACUGCAUAGCUAGAGUACGGUAGAGGGGGAUGGAAUUCCGCGUGUAGCAGUGAAAUGCGUAGAUAUGCGGAGGAACACCGAUGGCGAAGGCAAUCCCCUGGACCUGUACUGACGCUCAUGCACGAAAGCGUGGGGAGCAAGCAGG